GUGAAAGCUCCGGCGGAGCAGCGACUCUUCUGGAGGUGAAAGCUACGGUGGCCGCACCUCACACAGAGGGUGUGAGUCUUGUUCCUCCUCUUCAAUUGACUCGUGGUACUUCCUCUUCUUCUCCGAAGCUUCGAUUGCGGAAUCGGCGGAGGGCUUCUCCUCUAAGGUUUUCCUCUUCCUCUUCUCCUCGCCGAUGGAGGUUCCGAAUCCGACGAGGGUGCGUGGACGGAGCAGCGCCGAUUCCUGGGUGCGUAGACGGAGCAGCGUUGAUGGUGCGAGAGACCGUUGAGAAACAACAAGGGUACGACAGAGAGAGGGCUGGGUGUGAGGGUUAGAUGAAGGCAAGCUGGGUGGUGCGACGGCUUCUAGCUAGGGUUAAAGGAGAUUUGGAAAUAAAAGUGAAGUGUAUGUAUGAGGGUUGUUAUCACUUCUGCUAGGUUAAAA